UAUUGGACAAUGGGGGAAACCCUGAUCCAGCAAUGCCGCGUGAGUGAUGAAGGCCUUCGGGUUGUAAAGCUCUUUUACCUGUGAUGAUAAUGACAGUAACAGGAGAAUAAGCCCCGGCUAACUUCGUGCCAGCAGCCGCGGUAAUACGAAGGGGGCUAGCGUUGUUCGGAAUUACUGGGCGUAAAAGGGCGCGUAGGCGGCGCUGUAAGUGAGAUGUGAAAGACCUGGGCUUAACCUGGGAGGUGCAUUUCAGACUGCAGUGCUAGAGUGCAAGAGAAAGUGAAUACGAGUGAGAGGUAAAUCCGAGUUUCGUUGAACACCAGUGGCGAGCACUUUCUGCUCGAACUGCGAAGGCCAGAUA
rnacentral:rRNA from 1 species